AUGGGAGCCGGGGGGUUGGCCCGGGAAGGCCUGGGGCUCCCGUCUCCCGGCCUCGGACCCGGCGCUCAGUCUGCGCGGAGGAAGCCUGGCAGGGAGCUGCGGGCAGGAAGCGGGGCUGGGGGCGGCAGGGACACGCAGCUCCACGCCGGCGCCGCUCUGGGCCCCCUCCUCCUCCUCCUCCAUCGCUCCAUCCCAAAGCGGGUCGCCGUGAGCCUUGCUCGAUUCUCUCUCUCUCUAAACACGUUCUGUCAGGGACUCGUCUCUGGCUCUGCAAACCGUGAGCUAAAGGGGCUGAUCGGGGAGGCGCGGGGGUUUCUCUCCUGGCAGAAGGAAGGAAAGGGCUUGGACUGGAAUGGACGGCCCUUGCGGGAGCCCAGGCUUCGGUGCUUCUGGAGGUGGCAGGGAGGAGGAGGAAGAGGAGGUCUGGGCAAGCGGGACGAGCCUGAUAUGGCCAGCAGUCUGCUCUUUGGCCACCCCAGAGCACAGAACCUCUUUUCAGGAAAAUUGUGACUGCCUUAGGUAAGUUGUGGGAGAGAGAAGGGAAAUGGGGUAAACAGAUAAAGGAUGUAAGUGAGAAGGAGUGAAGGGAUGGAACGAGAGAGUAUAAAGAAAGGCUGGUGCAAAAGAGCAUUUGGGAGCAAGAUGAGCUAAGUUGCUUGUUGAGGUUUGGGGGUAUGGAAGAAACAGGUUUGAAGGAUUGUCUUGUGGGGCAUGGAUAGAGACAAUGGACGGGAUGAAGAAAAUUGAAAGUUAGAGACUGAAGUGAAAAUCUGUAAUGUAGGCAGAGGAAGAGUGACUUUGUAGAGCAGUUGCAUUGUGGAGGAGUAAAAAACUGAGGAGCUGGUUACAGAAAUGAAAGCUGUUAAUAUCAGUGUAAGUAUCAGGAUGCCAUAUCAUGGGAAGAAUGUAAAUGCUGGAUCAUUGUUGAAUUCUGCAGAUUUGCCAGUUUUAUCAUUUAGAUCCCCAAAAGCACUGUGUCCCUUCAGGGAGAGAGGGUGGGUUAUAAAUAAAGUUUUAUUAUUAUUAUUAUUAUAUUAUAUUAUAUUGAAAUAAUCAGACCAGGUUCUAAAGAACUUUUUUUUUUUAUUUCAGGGCCCCUGGUUUUUCUCCUGUGAAGUGAUGUCAGACACCAGCAAAUAAAUCAUGCUUUGACCAGAAAUGUUGUAAUAAAGUGCUGUGAAAGAUGUGAAUCCUGUUCUUGGCAAGAAAAACACAAAGAAAGAUUUCCACAGGAAAACUAGUAUUUUCUUAUGUUUAUUGUCGUAAAAAGGAUGGAGUUAUGUAGUGUGUGUGUUUUAAGUUGCCUGUCAAGUUAGGACAGCUACAUAAAUUAAAUAAGAACCAGGUGGUUUGAAUCCUGGAGUCUGCUUCUGGAAACCAGGAUUCAAAUUUUCAUUCAGCCAAGGAAACUCACUGGGUGACAUUGGGUUCAAAUUCGGUGGGCGGGAUGAGUUCCCAUCUGUCAGCUCCAGCUUCCCAUACAGGGACAUGAGAGAAGCCUCCCACAGGAUGGUAAAACAUCUGGGUGUCCCCUGGGCAAUGUCCUUGCAGACAGCCAAUUCUCUCACACGAGAAGCAAGUUGCAGUUUCUCAAGUCGCUCCUGACACACAAAAACAUUGGGCAGGACACAGUCUCUCAGCCUCAGAGAGGGCAAAGGCAACCUUCCUCUGAAUAAAUCUUGCAAAUAAUAACUCUUGGUGGGUUAAUUUUCUGUCUCCAUAAGUCAGAAAUGCCUUGAACACACAGAAUAAAAAUGAAAGCAUGCCAUAUAACCCAGAAUAUCAAGGCAGAAAAAUCCCCCAAUAUCUGCUUUGAACGGGGUUAUCUGAGUCCACACUACCAUAUAUCCUAGUUCAAAGCAGAUCAUGUGGGAUUUUAUUCAGCUGUGUGGAAGGGGCCUAAGAGGUGGUUUUGCCAGUUUGAAAUAAGGCCUCCAGCCCCUGGCAUUCAUUGGCAGUCUCCCAUCUAAGUGCUCAUAUAUGACAUUUUAACAGAGCUUUUUCCCAGGACAAGUGAAUGAAGGGAGUAUUCACCCCCCCCCCCCUUUACUAGGAAAUGUAUCAACAUUGUAUUUGGAAAUUUACCAAAUGCUUUUGUCUACAAUAUAAUCCAGUAUGCUUAUAGCUGGUUACUGUUACAUUAACAUUUUUCUUCUGCUGUCCUAAUCAGAUAUACACAAUUGUGACAUUUUUAAUACUUUGCAACAUUUUAAAGGACUUAUUUAUUACAUGGAUGAAGAUGGAUGAAGCAUGCCUUAAAAAUAAAGGAAUAGAAGGGGGAGGUAAAAAAAACAUUUAACACAAUAAGAAAUGAUGAUACACUUUCUGUGGAAGCUAUUUGUGAAUCUGGCAUUGCUGUGUCCAAAAUGAAAAAUGUUUUCUGGGCUUGUGCGCAAUAAAGAUUUAUUUGGCAAAUAUGGUGUGAUAUCAUCUGCAAAGGACCCUUCAACAUGGAUCCUUUAUCUUGAAGGGAGAGGGGAGAAUCAGCUUCGUGGUGGCUGAAUGAUACAUGGAUUUGGGUUAACACAGUUCAAAAACAUCAACAAAAGUUGUUUCCCUGCAUUUUGGGUGACUAAAUAGUUCUGUCACUUCCUAUUCAGGACUUGGCUGUGGCUGCUUACAGGGCCAUCCCACUUUCCCUGGGCUCAGGCAGCCUAGGGAUAGGGGACAGCACUUACCUUGUCCCAUUGUUUUUGAGUGGUAUCCACCAGACACAAAGAUGGCAUUUCAUCACUUGGCACCUAGAGUGAUGUUAUCUGGAAUGAUAAGGUGAUCAGAGAAGGAAAGAAUGAAAGGAGGGGGUGAUUCUUUCGGUCCCCUGUUCUCCUUGCAUUGCUUUGCCAAUCUGGGUAUCAUUGCUACAGGUGCCAAGCACUGUUCAGUGUCAUUUUCAUGCCCAGCUGGCAGUGCAUAGCACAGAACAAUGUGCACAAGAUAAGGAUGAUGGUCCGGUAGGAAUGAACAAGGUCUGCACUGCUUCACCAUGUAGCCACCAGGCUGCCUCAGAAAGGUGCAGUGCCUGAACCAAGUCCAUGGCUAGCUAUGUGGAUUAAAAUGAUGCUGAUGCAGAGUAUCCCACUCCAGUUCAGUAUCACCAUAAAUGCAGUCUUAGUAAUGAAUCCAGAAUUAAUUAAACCCACUAGAUAAGUUUUUACAAAUCUACCUAACUUUACCUCUGAGUAAGGUAAAGGAGAUCCCCCAUCUGAACGAAUUCUGUAAAAAAAAACCCCGUGGUCGAUUUUCCUUAUAAUCUGAAGUGAUGUGAAGACACAGAACAACAAUAUGAGUGAAUACAGAGCAGUCACAGAACCAUAACUCUAGGUUACAAAUGCAUAAGUACAAUACAGAAUGCCAGUCCGAAUUUGCACAAUUUCAUAACCAUUGGCUGCACACAGCUAAUGGAUGUUCUAAACUUUUCUAGUCUCAAAUUAUGGGCACAAAAAAGUAUCCUGGUCCAGAGUAUUAUGUUCCGUAUGUGAGAGAGAGUGGUUUUCGAGCACAGGAGAGGUUGCAGAUUUGAGAGAUGCUUGAUAGCUACUAGCACAGACUUGAAUUGAGGAGGCUUCCAAGAAUAUGUUCAUAACAACUGGCCAAAAUACAAUGUGCAGUUAUUCUAUCUCUUCCCUCCUUAAUAUAAAUACUUUUCUGUUGUAAGACAAAAAUGGAAAAUGAUGUGGGAAAACAGGAGGGCUGUUAAUGGGUUAUUUGGAUCCCCCUACCUGGUGAAAUGUUAUGAAUGAUGAACCAGGAUUGUGCAAUUUAGAAAUUAAAAAAUUCUCUGGAACCACCUUUGGGCUACAUGCAUAUUUUCUGACUCACUGCUGUAACUUCUUUUGUAGUAAAAUAAACAUGAGGAAAACAUGAUAUAACAAUGGACAGUACGUUGUACAUGAAAUCAAAAUGCAAGGAGGAAUAUAUUUCAUAUAUAGUGACAACAUGUGGAGUCUAUAAUCAGAUUGGCAUGAUUUUUGAACAGGGGGCAUAUCAAACCGUUGUGCUCCAAAUGCAAAAGGGUUAGAAUCUCUGAGGAUGUAGGGAGAUGAAUGUUUGGCAGAAUCGGUUAUCUCUACGGAGGUAAGUAUUCAAAGCUGAAGCAAAUUAGAUGUACUAGAUUUAAAUGCACUAGACUAUGAAUGUAUACUUUAACUCCCUUGCCUGCAGAUUUGAUAUCCAUGCUUUUACGUACCACUUCUGCACAAAAAAAAAAGCCCAGAAAUAUUUGUGGGCUUCUCUAGAUUCUCCAGUGCUAUUCUAUGAUCUGACUUAGGUAUAAUCAAAAUAUUGCGUUCUCUAUUAUCCAUGGUUUCAGGUAUCCAUAGGAAUUAGAAGGUGAUCGUGGAAUCUACCCCUACAGAAGCAGGGGUCAUACAAUAUAUCUGACUUUGACACGGGACAAUCAGAGCUUUAGAGGAUAUUUUAAUUCUGUAAAUAAUUUUGUUAGUUUGCGGUGAUUUUUUGGGCUGUAUGGCCAUAUUCCAGUAGCAUUUCACCUGCAUCUGUGACUGGCAUCUUGAACAUGCUAGCCACAGAUGCAAGCAUAAUGUCAGGAGAGAAUGCUACUGGAACAUGGCCAUACAGCCCGAAAAACUCACAGCAACCUAGUGAUUUCUGCCAUGAAAGCCUUCGACACCACAAUAAUUUUGUUGUAUAGGGCCUUCAAAACCCACAGUUCACAAUAUGAUUGCUUUGCUUUCCUUUGGCACAUGAUGAGGGAGCCCAGAUCUGUAGAUAUGCUUGCUCUCAGUCAUGGGAAAUUGGCAAUGCUGAUGGUGAUGUAGCAUGACACAAUGCAGGUGCAAGGUCCUCUGUGAAGGUGUUCCUUUGACAGCAGAGAUGAUGUUGGGAAAGAUAAAUAUCAGAAAGGUGCAAAAUCCCAGAAUAUAGUACACAGAUGUUAUUUUUCAAUCCAGUGCCCUCCCCAAAAGCAGGAGGGACUGAGCUCCCUCAAAAUGAUCUGUAAAAAAGUGCCUCGAAGAUUUGUAUAUACUUGAGACUUUUUAGGCUCAGCUGUUAUUAUUUAACCCCUCUAGAAAUAAGAGUCUGACCUAAGCUUGGCUAGCCUAAGCUACCUAGAGCACACGUAGAGAGCUUCUAAGUACACAUUAUAUUUUGCAAGAGUCUACAUGUUUCAGAAUGUUUGCUGGGAAAAACAUUAAUUUGCACAUGUCCUGUAAGUACCUGCUAGUAGGCAAAGUUAAUAACCUAUGCCAAUGUUUGCCCUCUUCACCUUAAAAACAAUUCAGGAGGCUCUGCCUGAUGCCUACUGAUUUAUUAACUUGUAUUCCAUUUAAUAGAACAUGCAGCACUGCUUCCGGAUGUCUUCCUUUAUGUACAUUGUAUGAUUUUCCCAAAGUGGCUUCUGGGACACAAGGCAGAAAUAGAGCAAGGGUAGGG
ensembl:lncRNA